GAAUAAAAAGAGUUCUCUUUUUCUCUCUUUAAAAAAACUAUUGAGAUCAAAGGUUGGAGGGAACGAAAGUAUUUCUUUAAGCUGGAUCUAAGACCCUGGAUUUUAUCGGUGAUUUCCCCGUGCCAAGUGCUUUUAAGGUGUAGGAUAAGACCCGAGAUGUGACAAUUGUCAACAUGUGUUAGUACGUGAUGUAGUUAAGGUAUACUUCCGACUUAAGACUUGGCGGCAACUUCGAAGCUCAGUUCACAUAAUUUUGUAUAAGUUGAUUUGGUUUUUAAUUUCGGACUUUACGAUUUUCCAGAUUUUAAUUUGUUUUGGAAUGUUAAAUUCUUGGUUUUGGUAAUUUUUUCGUGGAUGUUUUAUUUAAAACUUGUAAACUCACGCAAGAUGACAUAACUAAUGGAUCUUAUGAUUUUAAGAGAUAAUAAUUUUAAAAGUA